GAUGAACGCUGGCGGCGUGCCUAAUACAUGCAAGUCGAGCGAACGGACGAGAAGCUUGCUUCUCUGAUGUUAGCGGCGGACGGGUGAGUAACACGUGGAUAACCUACCUAUAAGACUGGGAUAACUUCGGGAAACCGGAGCUAAUACCGGAUAAUAUUUUGAACCGCAUGGUUCAAAAGUGAAAGACGGUCUUGCUGUCACUUAUAGAUGGAUCCGCGCUGCAUUAGCUAGUUGGUAAAGUAACGGCUUACCAAGGCAACGAUGCAUAGCCGACCUGAGAGGGUGAUCGGCCACACUGGAACUGAGACACGGUCCAGACUCCUACGGGAGGCAGCAGUAGGGAAUCUUCCGCAAUGGGCGAAAGCCUGACGGAGCAACGCCGCGUGAGUGAUGAAGGUCUUCGGAUCGUAAAACUCUGUUAUCAGGGAAGAACAUAUGUGUAAGUAACUGUGCACAUCUUGACGGUACCUAAUCAGAAAGCCACGGCUAACUACGUGCCAGCAGCCCGCGGUAUACGUAGGUGGCAAGCGUUAUCCGGAAUAUUGGGCGUAAAGCGCGCGUANGCGGUUUUUUAGUCUGAUGUGAAAGCCCACGGCUCAACCGUGGAGGGUCAUUGGAAACUGGAAAACUUGAGUGCAGAAGAGGAAAGUGGAAUUCCAUGUGUAGCGGUGAAAUGCGCAGAGAUAUGGAGGAACACCAGUGGCGAAGGCGACUUUCUGGUCUGUAACUGACGCUGAUGUGCGAAAGCGUGGGGAUCAAACAGGAUUAGAUACCCUGGUAGUCCACGCCGUAAACGAUGAGUGCUAAGUGUUAGGGGGUUUCCGCCCCUUAGUGCUGCAGCUAACGCAUUAAGCACUCCGCCUGGGGAGUACGACCGCAAGGUUGAAACUCAAAGGAAUUGACGGGGACCCGCACAAGCGGUGGAGCAUGUGGUUUAAUUCGAAGCAACGCGAAGAACCUUACCAAAUCUUGACAUCCUUUGACAACUCUAGAGAUAGAGCUUUCCCCUUCGGGGGACAAAGUGACAGGUGGUGCAUGGUUGUCGUCAGCUCGUGUCGUGAGAUGUUGGGUUAAGUCCCGCAACGAGCGCAACCCUUAAGCUUAGUUGCCAUCAUUAAGUUGGGCACUCUAAGUUGACUGCCGGUGACAAACCGGAGGAAGGUGGGGAUGACGUCAAACCAUCAUGCCCCUUAUGAUUUGGGCUACACACGUGCUACAAUGGACAAUACAAAGGGCAGCGAAACCGCGAGGUCAAGCAAAUCCCAUAAAGUUGUUCUCAGUUCGGAUUGUAGUCUGCAACUCGACUACAUGAAGCUGGAAUCGCUAGUAAUCGUAGAUCAGCAUGCUACGGUGAAUACGUUCCCGGGUCU
rnacentral:rRNA from 1 species